CUCAUCCUCUAGUUCAACUUCAACCUCUUCUACUUCCUCUAUUUCAGGGCUUAAUUUAUUUGGAACUGGAGAUGCACCUGCCUUUUUACUUUUUCUCGUUGUUAUUGCAGCCUCCUCAGUUUCAACUUCUGGAAUGGCAAUAAUUAAUUCAAGGGUCAUGAGCGAUGCAAAUAUUGUCAUCAUCAUUUUAGGCAAUGCAAUGAUUACUGCACCCAAUUUUCGCGACAACGAAAUAGCAUAACCUAUAUUAGAUAGACGAUCUUCUUCCGUGAGUUCAGGGUCCGGAAUACCAGUGUCAGUGUAACCUUUGACCAAUCUAAACAUUAAAAAGAAAGAGAUACAUGAACUGCUAAACCCGCCUACAAUUCUCAAGGCAUAUUAAUUCAUGCAAAACAAGUUAUCACACUCAACAUUGUGCAAAUCAAAGUAUUGCUCCUUACGAAAUCAAGUGGAAAAGGAAGAACAGAAUACAUGGCAAACAUUAGAUGUUACCAUCAGCCUACGGAGGCCAAACUAUCCGAACUCUAGUGAUAUUUUGUAGUUUUUUUAAAAUAAAUAUUACACGAAAAAGAAAUGAUAACAGGAAACCCCAACUAGAUGUAAUAGACAAUAAGCAAUUGAAUAUGGAAAAGUCAUGAUAUUGGAAGAGAUCAAGGUAAAAUUUGGGUAAUAGUCCUC